GAUCAUUACAGUAAAAACAAGGUCGCGGCAGUUGCUGGCCCUCUGGGGCAUGUGCACGCCGCGGCCGCAUCCUUCUUACACCCCUGUGCACCUUUGCGUGGGGCGCCAUCGGCCGCCGCCUUUGGUGCUCUGCGUUUUAUCUACACACACCACGUAUGUCUACAGAAUGUCUACUUGCGAUAAAAAGCAAACUUAAUACAACUUUCAACAACGGAUCUCUUGGCUCUCGCAUCGAUGAAGAACGCAGCGAAAUGCGAUAAGUAAUGUGAAUUGCAGAAUUCAGUGAAUCAUCGAAUCUUUGAACGCACCUUGCGCCCCUUGGUAUUCCGAGGGGCACGCCUGUUUGAGUGUCGUGAACUUCUCACCCUCUACCUUUCUUUUUUGAACGGUGGUUGCGUGGACGUGGAGGCCUUGCCGGGAAACCAACCGCUCGCGGGAGGGAAUCGGCUCCUCUGAAAUGCAUUAGUGGAGACCCCAGUGUUGGCCUUUCGGUGUGAUAAUUGUCUACGCCGUGGGGUCGCGCAAAGUGGGACCUGCUUCUAACCUUUGCCACCUUUCGAGGUGUGCACUUUUAUCGAAACUUGACCUCAAAUCAGGCGGGACUACCCGCUGAACUUAAGCAUAU
rnacentral:rRNA from 1 species